AGUCAAUAGAUACCCUGGUAGUCCACGCCGUAAACGAUGAGUACUAGGUGGUAGGAGGUACUCGACUCCUUCUGUGCCGCAGUUAACACAAUAAGUACUCCGCCUGGGAAGUACGGUCGCAAGAUUAAAACUCAAAGGAAUUGACGGGGGCCCGCACAAGCAGCGGAGCAUGUGGUUUAAUUCGAAGCAACGCGAAGAACCUUACCUAGACUUGACAUCUCCUGAAUAGCGCAGAGAUGCGUGAAGCCCUUCGGGGCAGGAAGACAGGUGGUGCAUGGUUGUCGUCAGCUCGUGUCGUGAGAUGUUGGGUUAAGUCCCGCAGCGAGCGCAACCCCUAUUAUUAGUUGCUACCAUUAAGUUGAGCACUCUAAUGAGACUGCCCGGGUUAACCGGGAGGAAGGCGGGGAUGACGUCAAAUCAUCAUGCCCCUUAUGUCUAGGGCUACACACGUGCUACAAUGGUGAGAACAACGAGAUGCAAUACCGCGAGGUGGAGC
rnacentral:rRNA from 1 species